rnacentral:misc_RNA from 1 species
GAUGAAGAACGCAGCGAAAUGCGAUAAGUAGUGUGAAUUGCAGAAUUCAGUGAAUCAUCGAAUCUUUGAACGCACAUUGCGCCCCUUGGUAUCCCGAGGGGCAUGCCUGUUCGAGCGUCAUUUCACCACUCAAGCCUGGCUUGGUGUUGGGCGACGUCCCCUUUGGGGACGCGCCUCGAAACGCUCGGCGGCGUGGCACCGGCUUUAAGCGUAGCAGAAUCUUUCGCUUUGGAAGUCGGGGCCCCGUCUGCCGGAAGACCUACUCGCAAGGUUGACCUCGGAUCAGGCAGGGAUACCCGCUGAACUUAAGCAUAUCAAUAAGCGGAGAA